ACACGCCAGGCUUAGGCUUACCCCUGCAUUGAGAGAGUAGCCCCUUGUCGAAGAGGGCAAUUGUCCCUAGUUAUUGCUAGAUAUCAUGAUGGAAACAGCUGCCUCUUGGUUUAUAAAUCAUCGGUGGUGAGUAAACCUGCUUAUUGUGGUCUUGCAGAUGUUUCUCAGGUCCCAUUUUAUGCCGCAGGUUGUAAGAAGGUGGUAAUAUUCUUGACUUUAUAAAGUACAGUGGUACCUCUGGUUAAGAACUUAAUUUGUUCCGGAGGUCCGUUCUUAACCUGAAACUGUUCUUAACCUGAGGUACCACUUUAGCUAAUGGGGCCUCCUGAUGCCGCUGCGCGAUUUCUGUUCUCAUCCUGAGGUAAAGUUCUUAACCCGAGGUACUACUACUGGGUUAGUAGAGUCUGUAACCUGAAGUGAUUGUAACCCGAAGCAUUUGUAACCUGAGGUACCACUGUAUAGAAAAGUAUUUGAGGGAUACCCACCUAAGCGCUCUGCUUGGGUUUCAUUUUUUUUUGCUCCCAUUCAAACCCCUGUUUUGUUAUGCAGGGUUUAGAAAAAACCUAUUAUGAGGGAAGAGCAGUUCUGGUGGUGUAAGCUGACUGACCUCCCCUCCCCUCACCCCAACCACAAAAUUUAGUUUUAAAUUUGCAGCGCAGAGAGUCUUGACAGUCAUCACCAAUGCCCUGCAUAGGACAUUCAUCCCAAACACAGGUCUUUGUCUCAUCAUGGGGCUUUCAAUACAUUAGAUUUGAAAACAGAGAAGGGAGUUAAUGAAAUUCUGAGCGGUCCAGGGGGCAAUACCUUUUCUUUCUGCGAUGUCUUUUAGAUAGACUUGGAUCCUUAUGUGUGCUCUUUGUCACAUAAAGAUCAGGCUUGUUUAAAACAAAGGAGUGUUGACCUUCCAACCCUCCCCAAGCCUGUGGCGGCUUUCAGGACUCUUUGUUUGCUUUUAAGUGGGUAGGUGACACUUCUCGCCUUUCUGGGUUUUCAGUUAUCUUCAUUCAUCUUAUCACCACAUAAAAUAGUUGUUUUGUUUUGUUUUUAAAAAAUCCUUUGCCUUUAUCUUUAGGUUAGGUUAGUCUCUUAGUAUUAGAUUUUUGAACUAAUAAAAGCAAAUACGAGAUGUUUGAAGCAUUACAAUUUUUUCAUAUUGGGAAAUGUUGGGGACUUUGAUGUUUUACAAAAUCACUUGCACGUUUACUGAAAUGAAACCAAAGUUCUUGCUCUUUGAAAUACAUUUUUUAAGAACCUUGGGGGUAGGUAUUUCUGUGCUUUUACAAAAAACAACAACCCCCAAACCUUUCUGUUAUCAAAAGGAUAUAUGUUUAGAGAAAUGCAUUGUUUUCGUGUAAAAUAUGUGUGUACGUUGCUUAUUGCUGUGAACUUUAAAUGUCCAUUUUUACUUCAGCUUGCAUUAGACCAGUUAGCCAAUCCUUCUGCUUGCCCCAAGGAUUACUUUCUCUGUUUCUGCAAUCUCUUGUGUAGCUGGUCAUUGAGGGAAUAGUUGCUGGAUUCUAAUGUCUAG